UCCCCAGACUCCUACGGGAGGCAGCAGUGGGGAAUAUUGCACAAUGGGCGCAAGCCUGAUGCAGCCAUGCCGCGUGUAUGAAGAAGGCCUUCGGGUUGUAAAGUACUUUCAGCGGGGAGGAAGGCGAUAAGGUUAAUAACCUUGUCGAUUGACGUUACCCGCAGAAGAAGCACCGGCUAACUCCGUGCCAGCAGCCGCGGUAAUACGGCGGGUGCAAGCGUUAAUCGGAAUUACUGGGCGUAAAGCGCACGCAGGCGGUCUGUCAAGUCGGAGGUGGAAGCCCCGGGCUCAACCUGGGAACUGCGUUCGAAACUGGGAGGCUGGAGUCUGGUAGAGGGGGGUAGAAUUCCAGGUGUAGCGGUGAAAUGCGUAGAGAUCUGGAGGAAUACCGGUGGCGAAGGCGGCCCCCUGGACAAAGACUGACGCUCAGGUGCGAAAGCGUGGGGGGCAAACAGGAUUAGAUACCCCAGUACA
rnacentral:rRNA from 1 species